AAAUUAAGCGACUUAUGGAAAAUAUUAAGCCAACAAUACUUUUCUUGGUCAUUCUUUUGCUCAUCCCAUCUGGAAUGGGAGUGGAAUGGGCAAAAUCGGUUAGAGAUUUUUGUGAAGACUGCGAUGGUAGCAAGGAGUGCAUCAGGAACCAUUGUGGCAGAAGCUGUUUCAAAGUGAAGCCCUUUGGAUUUGGAAUUUGUGUGUGGUAGCACUCACCACUUCUCAAAAUUAAUUCAUGCAUGUUUUUAAUAAUAAACUAGUACCUCCAUUCGUGCGAUGCACGAUGAAGAUCGAAAUUAAAUGACAUAUUGAAAUAAAUAAAUAUAAAUAUUAAACAGAAUUAAAAUAUAGCUUUAACACAAAAUAUGUUCUAAGACUAAAAUAAAAUAAUCCACAACGAUUACUCAAUAAAAUCUGGAAUUUGAAAACGUAUGCAUUGAACUUUGUAUAAAUGUAAUUAUAGUUAUAGAAAAUAGAAAAAAAAUAUUAUAAAUUAUUUUUUUUAGGUCCGGCCCUUAGUUUGCGCCUAUGCUCUCAAGGGUUUUCGUCUCUGUACGUUGUUUUUCAGUUUCAAUAAAAUUUCUAUUUCAGCAGUAA